GGAGCUGAGAGUUAGUGUGGGUGUAGUGGUUAAGAGCGGUAGUCUCAUAAUCUGGUGAACUGGGUUCGAUUCCCCGCUCCUCCA
rnacentral:tRNA from 1 species